GACAGAGGGUGCAAACGUUGUUCGGAUUUACUGGGCGUAAAGCGUGUGUAGGCGGCUUUGCAAGUCGGAUGUGAAAUCCCACGGCUCAACCGUGGAAGUGCAUCCGAAACGGCAUCGCUUGAGUCUCGGAGAGGAAGGUGGAAUGCUUGGUGUAGAGGUGAAAUUCGUAGAUAUCAAGCAGAACACCUGCGGCGAAGGCGGCCUUCUGGACGAUGACUGACGCUGAGACACGAAAGCGUGGGGAGCAAACAGG
rnacentral:rRNA from 1 species